CACGGCCCAGCGGGGUGGAAGUGCCUGGAAAGUUUGUUUUCGGCUCGGCGCAGCUUGGAGUUGAGCCUCCAGAGUUACCUUUUGGUUCUGUCUGUAGAGGAACCGCCCUGGGCUUCCACCUGGAACGGGGUCCCUGGCGUCUCCGCCUGCGAGAGAAGCAGAAGGUGCAAGUUCUUGCUCGAAACACCUGACGCGCGUGGGCCCCCGUUUCCAGAUUACAGUGGUCGGGUAAACUCUCCUUUUACCGCCUGGCCAAGGGGCAUUUGGGUGCUUUUCCUGCCCGUGGCUGUGCUCAGCGUUGUGUGAAGCCCCUGGGAGGCGGAAUGUGCAGGAUCACCGAGGGGAAAGUGAGCUUGACAGUCCCCCAGUAUGACGCUGUGCCCAUCCAGUCCAGCAUGGUGUGAUGUUCCUGCCCGUCCCCAUCAAUGGUGAGGACCCAGACUGAGUCCAGCACAGCCCCUGACAUUCCUGAUGGCAACAGGCAGGGCCCCGCCGUGGACAGCACCGCAUCUGAGGCAGCCUGAGGACUUCAAGUUUGGGAAAAUUCUUGGGGAAGGCUCUUUUUCCACGGUUGUCCUGGCUCGAGAACUGGCAACCUCCAGAGAAUAUGCGAGUGAGUAUGGGCUGCAGGGAGCUGUGCGUCUGGGAGCAGGGCCAGCGACUCCGUGCAGGGCAGCCGGGGUGGCAGGGCCGGGGUGGCAGGGCCAGGGUUUCUGUGCUGA
rnacentral:lncRNA from 1 species